UACGUAGGGUGCAAGCGUUGCCCGGAUUUAUUGGGCGUAAAGGGCGCGUAGGCGGCCACCGCAAGUCGACUGUGAAAUCUCCGGGCUUAACCCGGAAAGGUCAGCCGAUACUGCGGGGCUAGAGUGCAGAAGGGGCAACUGGGAAUUCUCGGUGUAGCGGUGAAAUGCGUAGAUAUCGAGAGGAACACCUGCGGCGAAGGCGGGUUGCUGGGCUGACACUGACGCUGAGGCGCGAAAGCUAGGGGAGCGAACGGG
rnacentral:rRNA from 1 species